rnacentral:misc_RNA from 1 species
CAAGAAUACGAGCCGUGCACUCCCUGCCGGCUCCGCUCCUUACCUUACCUACUGCACCGUUAGUUGCUUCCCGCGUACUACCUCUCUCUAGGACGUUGAUACAACCUGUAUAGAAGCAUUGAACACUCUUAUAAACCGAAAUCUA